rnacentral:rRNA from 1 species
AACGAACGCUGGCGGCAUGCCUAACACAUGCAAGUCGAACGAGAUCUUCGGGUCUAGUGGCGCACGGGUGCGUAACGCGUGGGAAUCUGCCCUUUGGUUCGGAAUAACAGUUGGAAACGACUGCUAAUACCGGAUGAUGACGAAAGUCCAAAGAUUUAUCGCCAGAGGAUGAGCCCGCGUAGGAUUAGCUAGUUGGUGUGGUAAAGGCGCACCAAGGCGACGAUCCUUAGCUGGUCUGAGAGGAUGAUCAGCCACAGUGGGACUGAGACAAGGCCCAGACUCCUACGGGAGGCAAGGGUGGGGGAUAAUGGACAAUGGCAGAUAGCCUGGUCCAGCAAUACCGCGCAAGACAUGAAGGCUUUAGGGUUGAAAAACUCUUGUACCCCAGAGGAUCAGGACAGUACCGGGACAAUAAGCACCGGCUAACUCCGUGCCAGCCGCCGCAGAAA